CGCGUAGGCGGUCUCUUAAGUCAGGUGUGAAAGCCCGGGGCUCAACCCCGGAAGUGCAUUUGAAACUAAGGGACUUGAGUAUGGGAGAGGGAAGUGGAAUUCCUGGUGUAGCGGUGAAAUGCGUAGAUAUCAGGAGGAACACCGGUGGCGAAGGCGACUUCCUGGACCAAUACUGACGCUGAGGCGCGAAGGCGUGGGUAGCAAACA
rnacentral:rRNA from 1 species